AUUUGGAAACUUUUGGUUGAAAAUAGAUUGCUUCAAAGAAAGGGUAAUUGAAUGGUGGAAACUGGCACCUUCAUCGAAGGAUGCCGCUACAAAUAUCUUAGGAAAACAUAUAUUUCUGAAGAGCAGACUCAAACAAUGGAACAAAGCUACAAAUGGAAAUGUUAUCAAGAGGAGAAAAAACAUCAAGGAAAGAAUUCAAUUCCUAGGUGGCAAAGAAGAAAAUGGCCC
rnacentral:lncRNA from 1 species